rnacentral:piRNA from 1 species
UCCUUGACAUGCUGCUCAGACUAAAGUGC